rnacentral:rRNA from 1 species
ACGAACGCUGGCGGCAGGCCUAACACAUGCAAGUCGAGCGGACCUUUCGGGGUCAGCGGCGGACGGGUGAGUAACGCGUGGGAAUAUGCCCUUCUCUACGGAAUAGUCCUGGGAAACUGGGGGUAAUACCGUAUACGCCCUUUGGGGGAAAGAUUUAUCGAGGAAGGAUUAGCCCGCGUUGGAUUAGGUAGUUGGUGGGGUAAUGGCCUACCAAGCCGACGAUCCAUAGCUGGUUUGAGAGGAUGAUCAGCCACACUGGGACUGAGACACGGCCCAGACUCCUACGGGAGGCAGCAGUGGGGAAUCUUAGACAAUGGGGGCAACCCUGAUCUAGCCAUGCCGCGUGAGUGAUGAAGGCCUUAGGGUUGUAAAGCUCUUUCAGCUGGGAAGAUAAUGACGGUACCAGCAGAAGAAGCCCCGGCUAACUCCGUG